rnacentral:rRNA from 1 species
UGGGGAAUUUUGGACAAUGGGCGCAAGCCUGAUCCAGCCAUGCCGCGUGCGGGAAGAAGGCCUUCGGGUUGUAAACCGCUUUUGUCAGGGAAGAAAUCUUCUGGGCUAAUACCCCGGGGGGAUGACGGUACCUGAAGAAUAAGCACCGGCUAACUACGUGCCAGCAGCCGCGGUAAUACGUAGGGUGCGAGCGUUAAUCGGAAUUACUGGGCGUAAAGCGUGCGCAGGCGGUUGUGUAAGACAGAUGUGAAAUCCCCGGGCUCAACCUGGGAACUGCAUUUGUGACUGCACGGCUGGAGUGCGGCAGAGGGGGAUGGAAUUCCGCGUGUAGCAGUGAAAUGCGUAGAUAUGCGGAGGAACACCGAUGGCGAAGGCAAUCCCCUGGGCCUGCACUGACGCUCAUGCACGAAAGCGUGGGGAGCAAACAGGAUUAGAUACCCCCGUAGUCC